rnacentral:misc_RNA from 1 species
GAUGAAGAACGUAGCGAAAUGCGAUAAGUAAUGUGAAUUGCAGAAUUCAGUGAAUCAUCGAAUCUUUGAACGCACAUUGCGCCCGCCAGUAUUCUGGCGGGCAUGCCUGUUCGAGCGUCAUUUCAACCCUCAAGACCCCUUCGGGGGACUUGGUGUUGGGGACCGGCACAGGGGCCUGCCUGCUUGUCUUGCAGCGCCCUCGCCGCCCCCGAAAUGAAUUGGCGGCCUCGUCGCGGCCUCCCCUGCGUAGUAGCACAACCUCGCAACGGGAACGUGACGGCGGCCACUGCCGUAAAACAACCCAAUUUUAUUAGAGUUGACCUCGAAUCAGGUAGGAAUACCCGCUGAACUUAAGCAUAUCAAUAAGCGGAGGA